GCUGGUAUAUUUGAUGCCUAUGUUCCUCCUGAGGGUGAUGCACGCAUAUCAUCUCUUUCAAAGGAGGGACUGAUAGAACUGAACGAAUGAAGAAGACUAUGGCAUCACAAGUGUCAAUCCGGAGGAUAAAAGACUAUGAUGCCAACUUUAAAAUAAAGGACUUCCCUGAAAAAGCUAAGGAUAUCUUUAUUGAAGCUCACCUUUGUCUAAACAAGUCCAUAUAAAGAGCUAUACGCUUGGGAGUACAGUGGCUCACACCUGCCAUCUCAGCAUUUUCAGAGGCCAAGUGGGGAAUUGCUUGAUACCAGGAGUUCAAGACCAGCCUGAGCAACACAGGGAGACCACAUCUCUACAAAAGAUUAUUUUUAAAAAUUAGCUGGGCUGAGUGGCAUGUGCCUGUGAUCCCAGCUACUUGGGAAGCUGAGGUGGAAGGAUUAUUUGAGCCCAGGAGGUCUAGGCUGCAGUGUGCAAUGAUUCAGCCAUUGCACUCCAGCCUAGAUGACAGAGCAAGACCCAGUCUCAAAAAAAAGAUUAUGAAUGGCUAGUAAGCAUGUGAAAAUAUGCUUGACAUCAUUACUCAUUAAGG
rnacentral:lncRNA from 1 species